rnacentral:tRNA from 1 species
ACUUUUUUAGUAUACUUGUAUAAUUGACUUCCAAUCAAUAGGACCGUCUUUACGGAAAGAGUA